GCCUGGAUAGGUCUGUCGGUAGACUUUCAAUCUGAGGGUCCAGGGUUCAUGUCCCUGUUCAUGCA
rnacentral:tRNA from 1 species